rnacentral:rRNA from 1 species
GAUGAACGCUGGCGGCGUGCCUAAUACAUGCAAGUCGAACGAAACUUCUUUAUCACCGAGUGCUUGCACUCACCGAUAAAGAGUUGAGUGGCGAACGGGUGAGUAACACGUGGGCAACCUGCCCAAAAGAGGGGGAUAACACUUGGAAACAGGUGCUAAUACCGCAUAACCAUAGUUACCGCAUGGUAACUAUGUAAAAGGUGGCUAUACUACCGCUUUUGGAUGGGCCCGCGGCGCAUUAGCUAGUUGGUAGGGUAAAGGCUUACCAAGGCAAUGAUGCGUAGCCGAAUUGAGAGGGUGAUCGGCCACAUUGGGACUGAGAACCGGCCCAAACUCCUACGGGAGGCAGCAGUAGGGAAUCUGCCACAAUGGGCGAAAGCCUGAUGGAGCAACGCCGCGUGGGUGAAGAAGGUCUUCGGAUCGUAAAACCCUGUUGUUAGAGAAGAAAGUGCGUGAGAGUAACUGUUCACGUUUCGACGGUAUCUAACCAGAAAGCCACGGCUAACUACGG